AAUCACUUCAACCUCGGAGGUGGAGGUUGCAGUGAGCCAAGAUCGUGCCACUGCACUCCAGCCAGGGCAACAGAAUGAGACUCCAUCUCCAAAAAAAAAAAGAAUGAAAAUCAGUGAAGUAAGGUUAUAAUCUUAAGAUACGAGAAAAGGAACAAGUGGUUUUUUUUUUUUUUCUAUCUGUUUUGUUGUUGUUGUUGUUGUUUGAGACAGAGUCUUGCCCAGGCUGGAGUGCGGCACAUGGCUCACUACCGCCUUGACCUGGGCUCAAGUGAUCCUCCCACUGCAGCCUCCCAUGUAGCUGGGACCACUGGCUCACACCACCAUGCGUAGCUAAUGUUUUCAUUUGUAGAGACAGGGUCUCACCAUGUUGUCCAGGCUGGCCUUGAACUCCUGGGUUCAAGCUAUCCUCCUGGUCAGCCCCACAAAGUGUUGGGAUUACAGGUGUGAGCCACCAUGCCUGGCCUACAUGAAACAUAUGCUUAUUUGGUUUUGAUUUUUACACUUUUAUGAUGCCAAGAUGAACCCCCAUUACCCUCCAAAAAGGAACAUCCUACUAGCUUCACAUUACAACUGGAAUAUUAACACAAUGUAAAUAGAGAAAACGGAGGUGGGGUGAUUAGGAGAUUUAAUAAGAAUAAAUCUUAAAGGGAAAUAGAAUGAAAUGUAUAAGGUAAAGGCAGAAGGUAAUAGAAAUAGUAUAAUUAGUAUAAUAGGAUCCAUAAAGUCAAACACAGAUUCAUUUUUUAAAAAAGAAUACAUUUCUGUCCAGAUUUAUUUUUUUAAAAAGCUGGGUGCAGUUGCUCACAUCUGUAAUCGCUGUGACUUGGGAGGGAAAUGGGAGGAUCGCCUAACUAAGCCCAGGAGUUGGAGGCUGCGUGAGCUAUGAUCAUGCCACUAUACUCCAUCCUGAGUGACAGAGCAAGACCCCAUAGCUGAAGAAAUAUAAACUAUUCAUGUUGUAAAAAUUAAGAUAUUUAUUUUUCAAGAAGCUAUUAUGAAUAAUUUCAUGGCAACAAAUUUCAAAAUUUCAUGGACAAAUUACUCAAAACUAUGUUAUCAAAAUAAUUUUAAAGGAAAAAUGGAAUAAUCAUUAAAGAAAUUUGAUUGAUAUUUUAAAAUCUUCCCAGAACACAAACACUAAACCCAGAGAGGUUUUCAGAAACGUUCUACUGAACAUUCAGGAAAAAAAUAAUUCCAAUUUUAUGUAAAUUAUUCCAGAACAUAGAAAAAGAGGAAGCAAUCCCCAAUUAAUCUCAAUCAUGAAGACAAAAUUUGAAAAAUCCAAAGCAAGAUAGUAAAGCAAAUUCAGCAAUAACUAGAAAUCAUUAUCAAGCUGAGUUUGUUCCAGAAUGUCAGGGUGGUUUAACAAUGGAGGAAAAAGAUCACAUCUGAAAAGAUGCAGGAAAAAAGGUUUGGUAAACCUUGGCAGCCAUUUGUAAUUUUUUUAAAAAUAAAUUUUGGAAAGCUUGGAGUAGAGAACUCUUUUAACUUAAUAAGUGAUAUUUACAAAAAGCCUACAGCACGUAUCUUAUUUUAUGCUGAAUUACUAAAUGAUUUCCUUUAAGAUUAUAAACAAGAGCGGGAUAAUCACUAUCAUGAUUUCAACAUUGUGCUGGGGGCCUAGUGUAUGCAGAAUAGCAGGAAAAAAAGUGAUUAGGAUUGGAAAUCCACCCUAUAGUAAUGCCAAGUAAAUCACAACCUCUCUUUGAGUGUGGAUGAGACCUGAGACUUGCUUCCAACGACAGAAUAUGGCUAAGGUGAUGGGGAUAGUCACUGCUUUGGUUCAUGUUAUAUGGCAAAAGUAAUGGAAUAAUUACUCUUGGGAUUAUGUGAUGUUACAGAAGAUCCUUGUUAGCGGCCCAGAGUGCACUAUCAUGUUGUAAGAAGGCCUGUGAAUGAGCCACCUGGCAAGAAACCUUGGGGACCACUAGGAGCUGAUGGAAACCCCCAGCUGACAGCCAGAACAAGACAGGGACUCCAUCCUACAGCCUCAGCUGAAUCCUGCCAACAACCAUCUGAACUUAGAAGAGGACACUAAGUUUUAAAAAGGACCACAGACUGGCUGUCACCUUGAUUACAGCCUUGUGAGACCCUGAGCAGGAGACCAACAGAAACUAUGAGAUAGAGACCUGUCUGUGAGUGGCUGGGAGACCUGUUUAAUUCUGGGGUAUAGAAUUAAGAUGGCCGUCUGCCUGUAAGUAGAAAUAAACUGCAUUCUCCCAAAUCAGCUUUGUUCAUAAUAAAAGUAAUAUUCUGGCCUCCUUA